UACGUAGGUGGCAAGCGUUGUUCGGAAUUAUUGGGCGUAAAGGGCGCGUAGGCGGUUUGUUAAGUCGGCUGUGAAAGCCCGGGGCUCAACCCCGGAGGGUCAGCCGAUACUGGCAGACUAGAGUACGGAAGAGGUAGCUGGAAUUCCCGGUGUAGCGGUGAAAUGCGCAGAUAUCGGGAGGAACACCCGUAGCGAAGGCGGCACUCUGGGCCGGAACUGACGCUGAGGAGCGAAAGCGUGGGGAGCAAACAGG
rnacentral:rRNA from 1 species